UACGUAGGUGACAAGCGUUGUCCGGAUUUACUGGGCGUAAAGGGCUCGUAGGCGGCCAACUAAGUCAGACGUGAAAUCCCUCGGCUUAACCGGGGAACUGCGUCUGAUACUGGAUGGCUAGAGGUUGGGAGAGGGAUGCGGAAUUCCAGGUGUAGCGGUGAAAUGCGUAGAUAUCUGGAGGAACACCGGUGGCGAAGGCGGCAUCCUGGACCAAUUCUGACGCUGAGGAGCGAAAGCCAGGGGAGCAAACGGG
rnacentral:rRNA from 1 species